CCCGCUGCAAACUUUAACUCAGGACCGGGGAGAAGCUGGAUAGGCUGACUUGCUGCUACAGUGUUUACUCUGGCGAAAGCGCCAGUCAUUCGGACAGCCACUCCUCCUGGCCGGGGUGCUCCCGCUGGUGGCCCGGCAGAGGGCGCCAGCUCCCGAUCGCUGCGCGGGCCGGCGGAGGGGAGGGGACUUGUUCGAGCCUUCAGGCUAGGAAUUUGAUGAUGACUGACGCUGCUUCCUGAACCAGUCCACUAACACCAGUGGCCUUCGAUGCUCCGUGGAUGCGUCAGAGAAAGUUGGAGUAGAUGAUCUUGAAGACUCAGAGAGCUAUGAAGAUUGUGAAGUCAUUCUACAUGUGAAGCUAUGAUUUAAAUAUCAGCAGUACACGUUCAGGAUCCGACCUUUAUCCGUGGUUACGUCUUCCUUCUUCACGCAGAAAUUAGAGCCGGAGACAGGUUUGCCCAUUGAACUCUGUAGUGUUGCAGCCUGUUUAGUAGACUGCUGUUGCAUUUUUAAUUUCUCCAUAAAAUGAGCCGAAAGACAAUGGGAAUGAUCUAAUUGCAUUUGAAGUAGCUGCUGGCCAGGCAACAGCUGAUGGGCUCCUCCGAGCUUCAAGAGCUAUUUAUGGUAGAUUAGCUGGGAUCAGGGCUCUGCAGUUCAGGCCAUAAAAGGCCCGGCCCAUGUGGAGUUGCCCCACUGCUCCUGACGGCACGAUCCGAGGCUGAAGCGUCCUCAGGUUUCACGUGGAUUUACCCAGUAAUGGAUGGCCACACCAAGGCCAGAUCGGGGAAGUUCAGCGUCAAGGACACCAGGGCACUGACAACUUCAAAAAGAAGACUCUUUUUAAUGUUUUGGCGAUCUUUUUUCAGAGAAACUUACGGGAUGUAGCCUUCACCUAUUUACUGCAUUUGGCAUCCAGACGCCUUUUGGAAAGCACCGAUCUAAAUUUAUCCUGUUCUGAAUCAUCACUUCUGAUAGAUGCCGUUGCCUUGUUUGCGUUGUGAUAUUUGAUUUUGUACAGUGUUCCUGGGGCUAAUUUUUGAUAUUUUGCUUUUUGUUUAGAAUUUGGCAGUAGCGUUCGUUGAAAGGAGACGCAAAGAAUAUACUUGAGGACCUCCAAA